AGAGUUUGAUCCUGGCUCAGAACGAACGCUGGCGGCAUGCCUAACACAUGCAAGCCGAACGAAGCCUUCGGGCUUAGUGGCGCACGGGUGCGUAACACGUGGGAAUCUGCCCUUCGGUUCGGAAUAACAGUUAGAAAUGACUGCUAAUACCGGAUGAUGACGUAAGUCCAAAGAUUUAUCGCCGAAGGAUGAGCCCGCGUAGGAUUAGGUAGUUGGUAGGGUAAUGGCCUACCAAGCCGACGAUCCUUAGCUGGUCUGAGAGGAUGAUCAGCCACACUGGGACUGAGACACGGCCCAGACUCCUACGGGAGGCAGCAGUGGGGAAUAUUGGACAAUGGGCGAAAGCCUGAUCCAGCAAUGCCGCGUGAGUGAUGAAGGCCUUAGGGUUGUAAAGCUCUUUACCAGGGAUGAUAAUGACAGUACCUGGAGAAUAAGCUCCGGCUAACUCCGUG
rnacentral:rRNA from 1 species